GCUAUCUUACAUCAAUAACAGCACUUCAUCAAUGCUGAGGCAUUAUAGAGCUCGGCAUGGCAAUGAAGAAUUUGCAGAUACUCGUGAGAGUACCCCAGUUCCUAACAAGCAAGCAGUGGAUGAGGCAGUGGUCAAUAUGAUCAUCAAAGACUGUCAGCCACUCAGCUUUGUUGAAAAUGAGGGAUUCAGGGAGCUCCUGUAUCACCUGUUUAUUAUCAUGUGAUAAUAAAGUAAUGAUUAACUAUUUUUUUAGGGCACAUUCUCUGGAAAACAUUAGAUCUGGAGGUUGCAGAGACCCAGAAGACGAGGAACGCAACAGUUGACUCAAUUAUUGAAGUCCAACGCUACCUGGCAGAAACAAACACACCCAGAAACCAAGAUCCUUUGCAAUAUUGGAAAUUGAACCAGGAAAUAUACCCACAUCUUCAUCAACUUGCACUUAAAACUCUCUGCUCACCAUCAUCGUCUGUUCCAUGCAAAAGAGUAUUUUCCAAGGCUGGGGAGCUGGUGUGUAAGAGGAGAAAUCGCCUUGGAGCAAAGAGACUCCAAAAACUUUUGUUCCUCAAUAAAAAUUCAUGAACUAA